rnacentral:rRNA from 1 species
AUUGAACGCUGGCGGCAGGCCUAACACAUGCAAGUCGAGCGGAUGAGAGGAGCUUGCUCCUCGAUUCAGCAGCGGACGGGUGAGUAAUGCCUAGGAAUCUGCCCAGUAGUGGGGGACAACGUUUCGAAAGGAACGCUAAUACCGCAUACGUCCUACGGGAGAAAGUGGGGGAUCUUCGGACCUCACGCUAUUGGAUGAGCCUAGGUCGGAUUAGCUAGUUGGUAGGGUAAAGGCCUACCAAGGCGACGAUCCGUAACUGGUCUGAGGGGAUGAUCAGUCACACUGGAACUGAGACACGGUCCAGACUCCUACGGGAGGCAGCAGUGGGGAAUAUUGGACAAUGGGCGCAAGCCUGAUCCAGCCAUGCCGCGUGUGUGAAGAAGGCCCUCGGGUCGUAAAGCACUUUAAGUUAGGAGGAAGGGCUUACAGCGAAUACCUGUGAGUUUUGACGUUACCGACAGAAUAAGCACCGGCUAACUUCGUGCCAGCAGCCGCCGCUG